GCCGGGCAUGGUGGCGCAUACCUGUAAUCCCAGCACUUUGGGAGGCCGAGGUGGGUGGAUCACUUGAGGCCAGGAGUUCGAGACCAGCCUGGGCAACAUGGCAAAACUCUGUCUCUACUAAAACUGCAAAAAUUAGUCAGGCAUGGUGGCACAUGCCUGUAAUCCCAGCUACUCGGGAGUCUGAGGCAUGAGAAGCACUUGAACCUGGGAGGUGGAGGUUGCAGUGAGCCGAGAUGGCGCCACUGCACUCCAGCCUGGGCAACAGAGUGAGACUCCAUCUCA
rnacentral:sRNA from 1 species